CAAGGAAUUUUGUGCAAUGGGCGAAAGCCUGACACAGCGACGCCGCGUGGGGGAUGAAGGCUUUCGGGUUGUAAACCCCUUUUCUCAGGGAUGAAUAAUGACAGUACCUGAGGAAUAAGUCACGGCUAACUACGUGCCAGCAGCCGCGGUAAUACGUAGGUGGCGAGCGUUAUCCGGAUUUAUUGGGCGUAAAGUGAGCGCAGACGGUUUUUCAAGUCAGAUGUUAAAUCUCUCGGCCUAACCGGGCAGGUGCAUUUGAUACUGUUAAACUAGAGGACAACAGAGGGAGGUAGAAUUCCCGGUGUAGUGGUGGAAUGCGUAGAUAUCGGGAGGAAUACCAGUGGCGAAGGCGGCCUCCUGGGUUGUUUCUGACGUUCAUGCUCGAAGGUGUGGGGAGCAAACAGG
rnacentral:rRNA from 1 species